ACGUUUGUCGCAUGGCAUUUGUAUUAAACGCUCCGGCGCCAUAGGAUGGACCCGCGUCCCAUUAGCUAGUUGGUGAGAUAACAGCUCACCAAGGCCACGAUGGGUAACCGGUCUGAGAGGGCGAACGGUCACACUGGAACUGAGACACGGUCCAGACUCCUACGGGAGGCAGCAGUGGGGAAUAUUGCGCAAUGGGGGCAACCCUGACGCAGCAAUACCGCGUGAGUGAAGAAGGUUUUCGGAUCGUAAAGCUCUGUUAUUGGGGAAGAAAAAAAGACGGUACCCAAGAAGAAAGUUCCGGCUAACUACGUGCCAGCAGCCGCGGUAAUACGUAGGGAACAAGCGUUGUCCGGAUUUACUGGGCGUAAAGGGCACGCAGGCGGUUUUUUAAGUCAGAUGUGAAAGGCCACAGCUCAACUGUGGACAUGCAUUUGAAACUGAAAGACUUGAGUAUUGGAGAGGCAAGUGGAAUUCCUAGUGUAGCGGUGAAAUGCGUAGAUAUUAGGAGGAACACCGGUGGCGAAGGCGGCUUGCUGGACAAAUACUGACG
rnacentral:rRNA from 1 species